UUGACCUCGGAUCAGGUAGGACUACCCGCUGAACUUAAGCA
rnacentral:rRNA from 1 species